rnacentral:lncRNA from 1 species
CGUUCCUGCCCCAGAACUCAGUUGGGGGCUCGGAGCAGGAGAAGCUGCACACGGUGGAUGAAGACCUGAUCAUUGAAGUUCACCAGUUAUUUUUCUCAAGAAUGUGAAUAACAAUGGGAUUUGCACUCAUUAUAUUUUUAGAAUGGCUUCGCAUAAUUUUCAUGCAUCCUGUGGACGAUGAACACAAAUGCAGCUGUGGCCGUGCCUGGCCUGUGUGUGUUGAACGCGUUCCUGCCGUGCGGGAGCCACCUACCCAGCGGAGCCUCAGAGUCUGAGUUCUCAAUGAGUCAACAUUUUGGGUGUGUAUGCCAAGAGGUGACACGAAACAGAAGUUGGGAUCACUGUGGUUAACCUGAGCAUGUUGGAGACCAAGGAGAGGCUGAUGUUAAUGUUGGAUUUUUGUGAAAAUGAUUCCUUUCAAAGAAAGACCUGUGACAGUUGGUAAUUGCAGCUAAUGUGUUUCCACAAACAGCCAUUUUGUGUUGGCAAUCACACCGUCCACCAUCAGGGUUGCUGACAGGAGCAGUGUUCAGGAGUCUCAGACAGUGGAUUGUGCUGCUUCAGGCGCCUGGUGGCUGGAGGGUUUGCAGGCUGCCAGGGGCCUCAGCUGAAGACCUGGACCCACAGGACCCACAGAGGCAAAUUGUUCAGUUGACUGUACAGUGUGAGAAUGAAACAUUAAUUCCCCUUCUCUACCUCAUAUGAGAAAUGUGAAUUGUCUUUUUUAAAUUUGGGAAUCUGGGUUAUAGUAUGUGUGAGUCAAUUUUUUCAACAAUGACUUUUUUUUUGGCUCAAAAUGUUUUAUUUU